rnacentral:misc_RNA from 1 species
UAACGAAAUCGAUUGGGUAAAUACAUUACAAGGCUGAGCAACACCUUUGUCCUCAGGUUCGUACCUGGGAGACAGGGAGGUUGGUUAGUUGAGUGUCUUUAGAAUAUCUUGCGACUCUUUCUUGCAAGUUAAGAAGGGUCGCUAUGGCGAAUUACAUAUUGUUGACUCCUGCGUGGAGUUAAUUCUAUGGUCAAGCUACUAAGGGCGCAC